rnacentral:rRNA from 1 species
GACGAACGCUGGCGGCGUGCUUAACACAUGCAAGUCGAACGCUGAAGCUUGGUGCUUGCACUGGGUGGAUGAGUGGCGAACGGGUGAGUAAUACGUGAGUAACCUGCCCUUGACUCUGGGAUAAGCCUGGGAAACUGGGUCUAAUACUGGAUACGACAUGUCACCGCAUGGUGGUGUGUGGAAAGGGUUUUACUGGUUUUGGAUGGGCUCACGGCCUAUCAGCUUGUUGGUGGGGUAAUGGCUCACCAAGGCGACGACGGGUAGCCGGCCUGAGAGGGUGACCGGCCACACUGGGACUGAGACACGGCCCAGACUCCUACGGGAGGCAGCAGUGGGGAAUAUUGCACAAUGGGCGGAAGCCUAAUGCAGCGACGCCGCGUGAGGGAUGACGGCCUUCGGGUUGUAAACCUCUUUCAGCACGGAAGAAGCGAAAGUGACGGUACGUGCAGAAGAAGCGCCGGCUAACUACGUG